rnacentral:rRNA from 1 species
UACGUAGGCAGCAAGCGUUGUUCGGAGUUACUGGGCGUAAAGGGUGCGUAGGCGGCUCUGUAAGUAUGGUGUGAAAAUCUCCCGGCUUAACUGGGAGGGUGCGCUAUAGACUGCGGGGCUCGAGUGUGGGGAGAGGAAAGUGGAAUUCCUGGGUGUAGCGGUGAAAAUGCGUAGAUAUUGGGAGGAACACCAGUGGCGAAGGCGGCUCACUGGACCGGAACUGACGCUGAGGCGCGAAAAGCGUGGGGGAGCAAACGGGG